CGAAUGCUGACAUAAGUAACGAUAAUGCGGGUGAAAAACCCGCACGCCGGAAGACCAAGGGUUCCUGUCCAACGUUAAUCGGGGCAGGGUGAGUCGACCCCUAAGGCGAGGCCGAAAGGCGUAGUCGAUGGGAAACAGGUUAAUAUUCCUGUACUUGGUGUUACUGCGAAGGGGGGACGGAGAAGGCUAUGUUAGCCGGGCGACGGUUGUCCCGGUUUAAGCAUGUAGGCGGAGGUUCCAGGUAAAUCCGGUACCUUUUUAACGCUGAGGUGUGAUGACGAGGCACUACGGUGCUGAAGUAACAAAUGCCCUGCUUCCAGGAAAAGCCUCUAAGCAUCAGGUAACACGAAAUCGUACCCCAAACCGACACAGGUGGUCAGGUAGAGAAUACCAAGGCGCUUGAGAGAACUCGGGUGAAGGAACUAGGCAAAAUGGUGCCGUAACUUCGGGAGAAGG
rnacentral:rRNA from 1 species